AUACGGAGGGUGCAAGCGUUAUUCGGAAUCACUGGGCGUAAAGGACGCGUAGGCGGGUUGGCAAGUCAGAUGUGAAAUCCUACAGCUUAACUGUAGAACUGCAUUUGAAACUGCUAACCUAGAGUAUGGGAGGGGGAGAUGGGAUUAGUGGUGUAGGGGUAAAAUCCGUAGAUAUCACUAGGUAUACCGAAAGCGAAGGCGAUCUCCUGGAACAUAACUGACGCUAAGGCGUGAAAGCGUGGGGAGCAAACAGGAUUAGAAACCCUAGUAGUCC
rnacentral:rRNA from 1 species